GGGGUCAUUUGAGUUUAUGUUAAGGGCCCAUAGCUCAGGCGGUUAGAGUGCACCCCUGAUAAGGGUGAGGUCGGUAGUUCGAAUCUACCUGGGCCCACCAUUCAAUCAGGCAAGGGGCCGUAGCUCAGCUGGGAGAGCGCCUGCUUUGCAAGCAGGAUGUCAGCGGUUCGAUCCCGCUCGGCUCCACCAAUUGCGAAUUUAUAGUUUUUUUGUUCUAGGGAUUUUUUUUUAGAGCAAUAGUUUUUUGAAAAUUGAAUAGAAGGUAGAUUUUUUUGUAUUUUUUAUAUUGGCAUUGUAUGCGAUAUGGGAGGUACCGACGUUGUAUAACCGCACGUUGAAGAUUUAUCUCAGGAAAUUGGUCUAUUGAAAGAGCAUAAUUUAUUUAUGUUUUUUUAAUUAAGAAACGUUUGUAAUGAACUUUAUGACGUAUUGACAAUGAGAGUG
rnacentral:tRNA from 1 species